rnacentral:rRNA from 1 species
CUAUGGACAAAAUGAAAUGUAUGACAAACUUGAUCUCAAAUCAGGCAGGACUACCCGCUGAACUUAAGCAUAUCAAUAAGCGGAGGAAAAGAAACUAACAAGGAUUCCCCUAGUAACUGCGAGUGAAGCGGGAAAAGCUCAAAUUUAAAAUCUGACGGUUGUAUUGGCUGUCCGAGUUGUAAUCUAGAGAAGUGUUACCCGCGCUGGACCGUGUACAAGUCUCCUGGAAUGGAGCAUCAUAGAGGGUGAGAAUCCCGUCUUUGACAUGGACUACCAGGGCUUUGUGGUGCGCUCUCAAAGAGUCGAGUUGUUUGGGAAUGCAGCUCAAAAUGGGUGGUAAAUGCCAUCUAAAGCUAAAUAUUGGCGAGAGACCGAUAGCGAACAAGUACCGUGAGGGAAAGAUGAAAAGAACUUUGGAAAGAGAGUUAAACAGUACGUGAAAUUGCUGAAAGGGAAACGCUUGAAGUCAGUCGCAUCGACUGGAAAUCAACCUUUGCUUUUGCUUGGUGUAUUUUCUGGCUUGAUGGGUCAGCAUCAAUUUUGAUCGCUGGAUAAAGGCUUGGGGAAUGUGGCAUCUUAGGAUGUGUUAUAGCCCUGGGUUGCAUACAGCGGUUGGGAUUGAGGAACUCAGCACGCCGCAAGGACGGGUUUCGACCACGUUUACGUGCUUAGGAUGCUGGCAUAAUGGCUUUAAUCGACCCGUCUUGAAACACGGACCAAGGAGUCUAACAUGCCUGCGAGUGUUUGGGUGGAAAACCCAUGCGCGCAAUGAAAGUGAAAAGUUGAGAUCCCUGUCGUGGGGAGCAUCGACGCCCAGACCAGACCUUUUGUGACGGAUCUGCGGUAGAGCAUGUAUGUUGGGACCCGAAAGAUGGUGAACUAUGCCUGAAUAGGGUGAAGCCAGAGGAAACUCUGGUGGAGGCUCGUAGCGAUUCUGACGUGCAAAUCGAUCGUCAAAUUUGGGUAUAGGGGCGAAAGACUAAUCGAACCAUCUAGUAGCUGGUUCCUGCCGAA